CCACCACGUGCCUCUAACCCGGGGGGCCGCCCCGGAUCCUCGGCAGGGGACGGCCCCGUCCGCACUCUCGGGCCGCAGCCCCCGCUGCAGGCGGCCCAGGCGGGACGACCCUUCCCGGAGUUGUCCCGUGGGCAGAACCAGCGACCUUCCCCCCUCCCCAGACGAGGAAGGGACUACAUUUCCCAAGAUGCCCUGCGCUGGGCUUCGUUCGGCGCUGACUAGAGACCCGAGAUUGAGUUCUCCGCUGACAUUUGGAAGCGGAAACUAAGCCCUGGUAGGAAAGGGUCUCAAGGAAGACAAGGCAUGGGACCAAGGAAGACUGAGGGAGGCAGUGACCUGCUGAGCAACCAGAGCUGCAGGAUCACUGGGCCUCACAGAUUUAUGCGUUUCUCUGGUGUUUACCUGGAUCUGCCCUUCUGUCAAAGUGGUCAUAACUGAUGUGAUUUUACAAAGGCUGAGCAGCUUCAGAAUCUGCUCACUUGAUUUGCAUGUCUUCAUCGUCUUCUCAAUGUCUUCUGUGGUGACUUUCUUCCCCGGUAAGCUUUCCAUCAAGCUGCGGAGCUGCUCGAAGGUAAGGUUUGUGUAUCCAAUGUGCCGCUGUACGCUGUUCUCACACAGGUCAAUAUCUGCAUAAAGCAAAAG